rnacentral:rRNA from 1 species
GACGAACGCUGGCGGCGUGCUUAACACAUGCAAGUCGAACGGAAAGGCCCUGCUUUUGUGGGGUGCUCGAGUGGCGAACGGGUGAGUAACACGUGAGUAACCUGCCCUUGACUUUGGGAUAACUUCAGGAAACUGGGGCUAAUACCGGAUAGGAGCUCCUGCUGCAUGGUGGGGGUUGGAAAGUUUCGGCGGUUGGGGAUGGACUCGCGGCUUAUCAGCUUGUUGGUGGGGUAGUGGCUUACCAAGGCUUUGACGGUUAGCCGGCCUGAGAGGGUGACCGGCCACAUAGGGACUGGGGUACGGCCCGGACUCCUACGGGAGGCAGCAGUGGGGAGUAUUGCACAAUGGGCGGAAGCCUGCUGCAGCAACGCCGCGUGCGGGAUGACGGCCUUCGGGUUGUAAACCGCUUUCGCCUGUGACGAAGCGUGAGUGACGGUAAUGGGUAAAGAAGCACCGGCUAACUACGU